rnacentral:rRNA from 1 species
GACAGCCAGGAUGUUGGCUUAGAAGCAGCCAUCAUUUAAAGAAAGCGUAAUAGCUCACUGGUCGAGUCGGCCUGCGCGGAAGAUGUAACGGGGCUAAACCAUGCACCGAAGCUGCGGCAGCGACGCUUAUGCGUUGUUGGGUAGGGGAGCGUUCUGUAAGCCUGUGAAGGUGUGCUGUGAGGCAUGCUGGAGGUAUCAGAAGUGCGAAUGCUGACAUAAGUAACGAUAAAGCGGGUGAAAAGCCCGCUCGCCGGAAGACCAAGGGUUCCUGUCCAACGUUAAUCGGGGCAGG